rnacentral:rRNA from 1 species
GACGAACGCUGGCGGCGUGCUUAACACAUGCAAGUCGAGCGGUAAGGCCCUUUCGGGGGUACACGAGCGGCGAACGGGUGAGUAACACGUGGGUGACCUGCCUUUAGCUCUGGGAUAAGCCUGGGAAACUGGGUCUAAUACCGGAUAUGACUCCAUGAUGCAUGUUGUGGGGUGAAAGCCUUGUGCGGCUGGAGAUGGGCCCGCGGCCUAUCAGCUUGUUGGUGGGGUGAGGCCUACCAAGGCGACGACGGGUAGCCGGCCUGAGAGGCGACCGGCCACACUGGGACUGAGACACGGCCCAGACUCCUACGGGAGGCAGCAGUGGGGAAUCUUGCGCAAUGGGCGAAAGCCUGACGCAGCGACGCCGCGUGA